UCCACUGCGUUUGGUUGGAUGGAAUUGCAAUUCCAUUCCGCAGCAAUUCCGCGCGCUACAGUGAUGCAGGCGUUUGGUUCACCGUUUAGGUGAUUCCACGUAAUAGGUAUUACGUUCCCAUUCCCUCAUCCCACGGAAUAGCCAUUACACGGUUGGGGGUCUGAAUACCCAUUCAAGGCAAGACCGUUUAGGUUUUAGACGAAAAUAGCCUGCCUCCCUUCUUCCCAAAAUUAACUCCAGCAGAUUUCUUCCUCCCCAAAUCAAGCAUCCAUUCGCCCUUCAUCUUCAUCUCCUGUGAAAUCCAGAAGUAUCAGCAAAGUACUGAACUCCUCAUCAAGAAACUGCCUUUCGAAAGGCUCGUUCGUGAAAUUGCCCAAGCCUUUUUAAGGUGGACAGGCAAGUAUCAGUAACGGACUUAAGCAAAUAUCUCCACUGCAAAGAUGAUUCUAUUUACUAUUUUCUAGUAAUACGGGAAAGACAAUAUAUACAUGUUAAACUACAUUUACAUUUCGGAUUUUAUCUUUUACUUUAAACAAGAACAUUUACAUUUCGGAUGUUGUAAAACUAUAUAACAUAUGGAUUAUGAUGUAGAAUUUCAUUUUCAUCUAACUUUUGUUAAUAUAAUUAACAAAAGUUAAUUA